CAGCAGCCGCCGCGGGAAUACAGAGGGUGCGAGCGUUAAUCGGAUUUACUGGGCGUAAAGCGUGCGUAGGCGGCUAAUUGAGUCGGAUGUGAAAUCCCCGAGCUUAACUUGGGAAUUGCAUUCGAUACUGGUUAGCUAGAGUGUGGGAGAGGAUGGUAGAAUUCCAGGUGUAGCGGUGAAAUGCGUAGAGAUCUGGAGGAAUACCGAUGGCGAAGGCAGCCAUCUGGCCUAACACUGACGCUGAGGUACGAAAGCAUGGGGAGCAAACAGGAUUAGAUACCCCCGUAGUCCCUGUCUCUUAUAC
rnacentral:rRNA from 1 species